rnacentral:rRNA from 1 species
GACGAACGCUGGCGGCGUGCUUAACACAUGCAAGUCGAACGGUGAACGAGGGAUCUUGCUCCCUCCGGAUCAGUGGCGAACGGGUGAGUAACACGUGAGCAAUCUGCCCCCAACUCUGGGAUAAGCGUUUGAAACGACGUCUAAUACCGGAUACUACGCGGGAGGGCAUCCUCUCCGCGUGGAAAGGACUUCGGUUCGGGAUGAGCUCUCGGCCUAUCAUCUUGUUGGUGAGGUAACGGCUAACCAAGGCGACGACGGGUAGCCGGCCUGAGAGGGGGACCGGCCACACUGGGACUGAGACACGGCCCAGACUCCUACGGGAGGAAGCAGUGGGGAAUAUGGCACAAUGGGCGCAAGCCUGAUGAAGCACCGCCGCGUGAGGGAGGACGGCCUUCGGGUUGUAAACCUCUUUUGGCAGGGAAGAAGCGAAAGUGACGGUACCUGCAGAAAAAGCACCGGCUAACUACGUG